CAACUUCCCAUUUAUUCAGACAAAAGGCAAGUCAAAUCUGAAUGUUUUGUAUAUGAAUACAUCAACAAACUGUAUUAACUUGUUUAAAUGCAGCAUGAAUCUUAUAAUCUAAAAACUUCACUGUAUUUCUGAACAUGUUCUUCUCUUUUCUUUUCUUUGAAUUACUUUCUGUCUGUAUGCCAUGGUUUGAGCUGCCACAGUUUAAAAUAUGGUAAGAAAGGUCAUGUGUCAACAUGAAAAACCUGUAACCUUGUAUUAAACUGCAACAUGAAUCUUUUUUCUUAUUCUUUCUUUGCAUGACUCUUUUCAACUACAUGCCAAGGUUUGAGCCGUCACAAUGACAAACAUGGUAAUAUGUAAUAUAUAUAUAUAUAUAUUGCAUGGUUUGAGUCAUCACAGUGCUGAAUAUGGUAACACACAUCACAUGACUGCAAUAAAAGUUAAGUCAGACAUUUUAAAUACAUUAAAAAGCAAUAAAAGGUAAGUCAGAUCUCAAAGUUUUAUAUGAAUGCAUUAAAAACUUCAUUAACUGAUGUUAAUUUCCAGCAUGAAUGUUUAAUUCUGGAAAAUUACAGUAUUUCUGAACUUGUUCUUCUCUGUUCCAAUUUUUGCAUGACUCUUUCGAACUACAUGCCAUAGUUUGAGCAUCACAAUGACAAAUGUGGUACCCUGUGUGGACAGCUCUUUGAGGCUUUGGUUCUUUAACUAGCCUCGGGGGAUGCGAUGACUAGCCGCUGUCAGUGUAGCCAGGAUUAGGCUGUCUGCCAGGCCAGCGGAUGACAGCGGUGCCCAUCUCUUCACCCUUGGCAUCGCUGGAGGACCACCAUAGAGAAGCAAGAGAGUAGUCUCUCCUCGACUAAUGUGGCAGCAAACAAUCUUCACAUUAAAACUGAGCCGCAUCCUAGGAAAUCCUCAAGUGCAGUGGGGUCAACGGAAGGUCUCUUGCCCUUAAAGAGCUGGGAUGAGCUCUGAUGAAUGGAAAAACGGGGAAGACUGUGGAUAACCAAAAUUGAGAUCAAAGGCGAGCUUCAAAGCAUCAGGAGGAAUCUGAAGCUAAAGGGGUCUGUCUCUCUCUCCAUCUCAUUCCUAUGCUUCUCAAACACUCCAGCAGACACCACCCAGCACUCGUCUGGGCGAGGACAUGCCUCUUCCAUCCCUUCUCCAUCAUCACACUGGCUCUCUUUAUCUGAUUAGUCUCAAACACAGCUAACAAAAACGGAGAAAAAUGACACGUCACUGAUUAAAUGAACUAGAAACAACAGAUUCAAUGUUCUAAGGCCACAGGGGGAAAAACAACAAGUGCCAUUUGAGCUGUUUCAGUCCGUUUCUUCACAUCCGAUACUGCAUUUUUACCAUAUGAACUGAGCUGAGGAGAAGUUAAGUCUCUCCCUAAUACCACUGUGAACCUAAGAUGACUCUGACCUGAACAACCUUGUCUGUUUUGGUUCGGAUGAUCUUCAAAAACAGCUCUACCUGCCAUCAUGCAUUAUAAAUGAAAGCUAUGUUGUCUUUUGUUCAUGCGUUCUGUUGACAUACUUCAUGUCAGGUGGGGGAAUAAAAGAGAUUGGAAAGAACCCACUCAAGCUAUCAAGAUCCCAGACACCUAAAGUAUUUUACAAAUACUUUAUAUUUACAAAUACCGUUCCAAGCUCAUGGUCUUCUCGUACCUGAAUUUGCGAGUGAACCUUCUGAACCAGAGAUUUUUUUACAGUAUACAGGGUCCGUUCCCUUAAUAAAGCAUCAACCGACAAGUGCGUAAAUAAGUGAUCUUUUGGCACUUAAUCCCGACGGGUGUGUACAGAAAGGAAGUGACAUGGUAUAUUACAUCAUCGACAUUCCUCUGAGUCAUCCACAACUCACGUGACCUCUUGGCACUUGAACAUAGGAGUAAAUGGGAAAGGAGACAAUUUUUUUACUUUAUAUGAGGUACUGUAUAAUGCAUGCAGACUACACACACAUUGGACCAUACAUAAUAAUUAAUACUCUCUGGUAAGAUGAUCUCAAGCGAGUCCAUUUGUUUGAAAUGGAAGGUGGGGUUUCUCCAUGUGUCAUUUGAGCUGAAGGUGCUACUCGGCGCCGCUAGCGUAUUUGAAUCUAAGCAACGCUAUUAUGGAGAGGGAUUUUCAGUUCUUUAGGACGUCGUGCCGUGGAGAUCAGCUCAACUGACUCCUGUUUUAGAAAAGCAACAAAAAUGCGAAGACAAAAUAGAGUAACGUUUGUACAUUCACACACGCUAACAUGUAGAAAACAGGACAUAUGCACAUAGAGAGACCGUAGAGCGGAGUUCAUCCAGUUUGAUACUGGCUUCUGGUCAAUCCAAGAGAAUUAAGGACAUGCUGGUUGAACUUUGGCCCCCUUUUUGUUGGGGUUUCAUUGUUUCCCAAACAAUGUCGAUGCCUUGUGGUCUCUCAGGCCAGUUGGAGUCGAAAGUCUAAGUUUGUACUAGCGUGUCGACACACACGUGUGGUGGUAGCAGUCGCUGCUUUCCAAGGAAAGAAAGAGACUUGAACUUUUGCCACACCAGUGAUGAGGAAUUAUACUAGCUGACUCAAUGAAACAAACUCAAAAAGCACUCAUGUAUAAAAAUAAAAUUUGGAAGUAAAUGCCAUUAACUGGACGGUAAUGGCGAGGCAGUAGAUGUCCGUUUCCUUCUUUCAAAUCCUCCUGAAAUGGUUUUAGCAAGCACAUUUUUGAGGAAGUAUCGAUGUCUUGCAUUCAUCAUGUAAAUGAGUGCUAGGCACAUUGAACCAGAUGAACUAAAGAAAACAACAACAACAACAAUCCAGAUAAAGAAAAAAUGUUCCAGGAAGCUGCUCGCCCAAAACGAAAGACAACUAAAAUCAGAACUCCAUAGUUUCCACUCCUGAUCUAGUCCUCAAGAUGAAAGCCUUGUGACUUGCUUUCAUCAAAUAGUUGUCCAUUGGUCUUAAAGGUGACCUCUUCACAAAAUUGUAGAAAAAAAGCACAAGCUAUUGUUGGUAUCGAGUCUCUAGCCAGUGUUUGUCUCUUUUGUGUGGAGAGGCUUUGGAUGAUGGUUUGACUGAUUGAAGGACUUUCGUCCUUC
ensembl:lncRNA